AGAGUUUGAUCAUGGCUCAGAAUGAACGUUGGCGGCGUGGAUUAGGCAUGCAAGUCGCGCGAGAUUCCUGGCUUGCCAGGAUGAAAGCGGCGAAAGGGAGAGUAACGCGUGGACCAUCUGCCCUCAGGCCUGGGAUAGCUGCGGGAAACUGCAGGUAAUACCGGAUAAUGUCCCUGGACCAAAGGUGUGGUUCCGCCUGAGGAUGAGUCCGCGUCCUAUCAGCUAGUUGGUGGGGUAAUGGCCCACCAAGGCUACGACGGGUACUGGGUGUGAGAGCACGACCCAGCUCACUGGGACUGAGACACUGCCCAGACACCUACGGGUGGCUGCAGUCGAGGAUCUUCGGCAAUGGGCGCAAGCCUGACCGAGCGACGCCGCGUGUGGGAUGAAGGCCUUCGGGUUGUAAACCGCUGUCAGAGGGGAUGAAAUGCGCGGGGGUACUCCCCCGUGUUUGACAUAGCCUCAGAGGAAGUACGGGCUAGUUCGUGCCAGCAGCCGCGGUAAGACGAACCGUACGAACGUUAUUCGGAAUCACUGGGCUUAAAGGGUGCGUAGGCUGUGCAGAAAGUUGGGUGUGAAAUCCCUCGGCUCAACCGAGGAACUGCGCCCAAGACUACUGUGCUCGAGGGAGAUAGAGGUGAGCGGAACUUAGGGUGGAGCGGUGAAAUGCGUUGAUAUCCUAAGGAACACCGGUGGCGAAAGCGGCUCACUGGAUCUCUUCUGACGCUGAGGCACGAAAGCUAGGGUAGCGAACGGGAUUAGAUACCCCGGUAGUCCU
rnacentral:rRNA from 1 species